UUUGAACUAUUCUUUG
rnacentral:tRNA from 1 species